rnacentral:rRNA from 1 species
UACGUAGGGAGCAAGCGUUGUCCGGAAUCAUUGGGCGUAAAGCGCGCGUAGGCGGCCCCGUAAGUCCGCUGUGAAAGUCAAAGGCUCAACCUUUGAAAGCCGGUGGAUACUGUGGGGCUAGAGUCCGGAAGAGGCGAGUGGAAUUCCCGGUGUAGCGGUGAAAUGCGCAGAUAUCGGGAGGAACACCAAUGGCGAAGGCGGCCUCUGGACUGACACUGACGCUGAGGCGCGAAAGCCAGGGAGACGAACGGG